rnacentral:rRNA from 1 species
UACGUAGGGCGCGAGCGUUGUCCGGAAUCAUUGGGCGUAAAGAGCUCGUAGGCGGCCUGUCGCGUCUGCUGUGAAAUCCCGGGGCUUAACCCCGGGCGUGCAGUGGAUACGGGCUGGCUGGAGGCAGGCAGGGGAGAACGGAAUUCCCGGUGUAGCGGUGAAAUGCGCAGAUAUCGGGAGGAACACCGGUGGCGAAGGCGGGUCUCUGGGCCGAUACUGACACUGAGGAGCGAAAGCGUGGGGAGCGAACAGG